rnacentral:rRNA from 1 species
UACGAAGGGUGCUAGCGUUGUUCGGAAUCACUGGGCGUAAAGCGUGCGUAGGCGGCUAUGCAAGUCAGAGGUGAAAUCCCCAGGCUCAACCUGGGAACUGCCUUUGAAACUGCAUAGCUGGAGUACUGGAGGGGUUGGCGGAAUUCCUAAUGUAGCGGUGAAAUGCGUAGAUAUUAGGAGGAACACCAGCGGCGAAGGCGGCCAACUGGACAGUAACUGACGCUGAGGCACGAAAGCGUGGGGAUCAAACAGG